rnacentral:rRNA from 1 species
UGCUGGAGCGAAUAGAAGUGAGCAUGCAGGCAUGAGUAGCGAUAAUUAAUGUGAGAAUCAUUAACGCCGUAAACCCAAGGUUUCCUACGCGAUGCUCGUCAUCGUAGGGUUAGUCGGGUCCUAAGUCGAGUCCGAAAGGGGUAGACGAUGGCAAAUUGGUUAAUAUUCCAAUACCAACAUUAGUGUGCGAUGGAAGGACGCUUAGGGCUAAGGGGGCUAGCGGAUGGAAGUGCUAGUCUAAGGUCGUAGGAGGUUAUACAGGCAAAUCCGUAUAACAAUACUCCGAGAACUGAAAGGCUUUUUGAAGUCUUCGGAUGGAUAGAAGAACCCCUGAUGCCGUCGAGCCAAGAAAAGUUUCUAAGUUUAGCUAAUGUUGCCCGUACCGUAAACCGACACAGGUGGGUGGGAUGAGUAUUCUAAGGCGCGUGGAAGAACUCUCUUUAAGGAACUCUGCAAAAUAGCACCGUAUCUUCGGUAUAAGGUGUGGUUCGCUUCGUAUUAGGAUUUACUCCGAAAGCGAAGAAACUUACAACAAAGAGUCCCUCCCGACUGUUUACCAAAAACACAGCACUCUGCUAACUCGUAAGAGGAUGUAUAGGGUGUGACGCCUGCCCGGUGCUCGAAGGUUAAUUGAUGGGGUUAGCAUUAGCGAAGCUCUUGAUCGAAGCCCGAGUAAACGGCGGCCGUAACUAUAACGGUCCUAAGGUAGCGAAAUUCCUUGUCGGUUAAAUACCGACCUGCAUGAAUGGCGUAACGAGAUGGGAGCUGUCUCAAAGAGGGAUCCAGUGAAAUUGUAGUGGAGGUGAAAAUUCCUCCUACCCGCGGCAAGACGGAGAGACCCCGUGGACCUUUACUACAGCUUGACACUGCUACUUGGAUAAGAAUGUGCAGGAUAGGUGGGAGGCUUUGAGUAUAUGACGCCAGUUGUAUAUGAGCCAUUGUUGAGAUACCACUCUUUCUUAUUUGGGUAGCUAACCAGCUUGAGUUAUCCUCAAGUGGGACAAUGUCUGGUGGGUAGUUUGACUGGGGCGGUCGCCUCCCAAAUAAUAACGGAGGCUUACAAAGGUUGGCUCAGAACGGUUGGAAAUCGUUCGUAGAGUAUAAAGGUAUAAGCCAGCUUAACUGCAAGACAUACAAGUCAAGCAGAGACGAAAGUCGGUCUUAGUGAUCCGGUGGUUCUGUGUGGAAGGGCCAUCGCUCAAAGGAUAAAAGGUACCCCGGGGAUAACAGGCUGAUCUCCCCCAAGAGCUCACAUCGACGGGGAGGUUUGGCACCUCGAUGUCGGCUCAUCGCAUCCUGGGGCUGGAGCAGGUCCCAAGGGUAUGGCUGUUCGCCAUUUAAAGCGGUACGCGAGCUGGGUUCAGAACGUCGUGAGACAGUUCGGUCCCUAUCUGCCGUGGGCGUAAGAAGAUUGAAGAGAUUUGACCCUAGUACGAGAGGACCGGGUUGAACAAACCACUGGUGUAGCUGUUGUUCUGCCAAGAGCAUCGCAGCGUAGCUAAGUUUGGAAAGGAUAAACGCUGAAAGCAUCUAAGCGUGAAGCCAACUCUAAGAUGAAUCUUCUCUAAGCUCUCUAGAAGACUACUAGUUUGAUAGGCUGGGUGUGUAAUGGAUGAAAGUCCUUUAGCUGACCAGUACUAAUAGAGCGUUUGGCUUAUCUUUAAUAAAGCAU